rnacentral:rRNA from 1 species
AGAUUAAGUUAUUAAGGGCGCACGGUGGAUGCCUUGGCACUAGAAGCCGAUGAAGGACGUUACUAACGACGAUAUGCUUUGGGGAGCUGUAAGUAAGCUUUGAUCCAGAGAUUUCCGAAUGGGGAAACCCAGCAUGAGUUAUGUCAUGUUAUCGAUAUGUGAAUACAUAGCAUAUCAGAAGGCACACCCGGAGAACUGAAACAUCUUAGUACCCGGAGGAAGAGAAAGAAAAUUCGAUUCCCUUAGUAGCGGCGAGCGAAACGGGAAGAGCCCAAACCAACAAGCUUGCUUGUUGGGGUUGUAGGACACUCUAUACGGAGUUACAAAGGACGACAUUAGACGAAUCAUCUGGAAAGAUGAAUCAAAGAAGGUAAUAAUCCUGUAGUCGAAAAUGUUGUCUCUCUUGAGUGGAUCCUGAGUACGACGGAGCACGUGAAAUUCCGUCGGAAUCUGGGAGGACCAUCUCCUAAGGCUAAAUACUCUCUAGUGACCGAUAGUGAACCAGUACCGUGAGGGAAAGGUGAAAAGCACCCCGGAAGGGGAGUGAAAUAGAACCUGAAACCGUGUGCUUACAAGUAGUCAGAGCCCGUUAAUGGGUGAUGGCGUGCCUUUUGUAGAAUGAACCGGCGAGUUACGAUUUGAUGCAAGGUUAAGCAGUAAAUGUGGAGCCGUAGCGAAAGCGAGUCUGAAUAGGGCGUUUAGUAUUUGGUCGUAGACCCGAAACCAGGUGAUCUACCCUUGGUCAGGUUGAAGUUCAGGUAACACUGAAUGGAGGACCGAACCGACUUACGUUGAAAAGUGAGCGGAUGAACUGAGGGUAGCGGAGAAAUUCCAAUCGAACCUGGAGAUAGCUGGUUCUCUCCGAAAUAGCUUUAGGGCUAGCCUCAAGUGAUGAUUAUUGGAGGUAGAGCACUGUUUGGACGAGGGGCCCCUCUCGGGUUACCGAAUUCAGACAAACUCCGAAUGCCAAUUAAUUUAACUUGGGAGUCAGAACAUGGGUGAUAAGGUCCGUGUUCGAAAGGGAAACAGCCCAGACCACCAGCUAAGGUCCCAAAAUAUAUGUUAAGUGGAAAAGGAUGUGGCGUUGCCCAGACAACUAGGAUGUUGGCUUAGAAGCAGCCAUCAUUUAAAGAGUGCGUAAUAGCUCACUAGUCGAGUGACACUGCGCCGAAAAUGUACCGGGGCUAAACAUAUUACCGAAGCUGUGGAUUGUCC